rfam:Amazona aestiva scaffold_784, whole genome shotgun sequence.
UCUGGGAAGAGUGGUGGCACACACCUGUGGUCUCAGCUACUCUGAAGGCUGAGUCUGCUGGAUUGCUUGAGUCUGCGCUAAGGCCAGCAUCAAUAUGGUGAGCCCUGAGGAGCCAGGGCACACUAGGUUGACUAAGGAGGUGUGAACCGGCCCAGGUCAGAGACUGAGAAGGUCAAAGCUCACAUGCUAGUCAGUAGUGGGAUUGUACCUGUGAAUAGCCNCUGCAGCGUAGCCU